rnacentral:rRNA from 1 species
AUGAACGCUAGCUACAGGCUAACACAUGCAAGUCGAGGGGCAGCAUGAAUCAAGCUUGCUUGAUUGAUGGCGACCGGCGCACGGGUGCGUAACACGUAUCCAAUCUACCCAUGGCUCAGGGAUAGCCUUUCGAAAGAAAGAUUAAUACCUGAUGGUUUCAUGAGCCCGCAUGGACUUAUGAAUAAAGAUUUAUCGGCGAUGGAUGAGGAUGCGUCCGAUUAGAUAGUAGGCGGGGUAACGGCCCACCUAGUCGACGAUCGGUAGGGGCUCUGAGAGGAGGAUCCCCCACAUUGGAACUGAGACACGGUCCAAACUCCUACGGGAGGCAGCAGUGAGGAAUAUUGGUCAAUGGGCGAGAGCCUGAACCAGCCAAGUAGCGUGAGGGAUGACUGCCCUAUGGGUUGUAAACCUCUUUUGUUUGGGAAUAAAGUGAGCCACGUGUGGCUUUUUGUAUGUACCUUACGAAUAAGCAUCGGCUAAUUCCGUGCCAGCCGCUGC